rnacentral:lncRNA from 1 species
AUUUGGCAUUAUCUGUGUAAGUGCUUAUGACAUGUCCAAUUAAACACAUUGCUCUCAUUUUUUUGCACCAGGUGUUUUAAUGAUCACUAUCUUGAGGUGGAUUAAAAUAACAUGAACAGGCAAAUUCCGAAAGCCCCAGCAUGUUCAGCAGUGGGAAGGAGGCAGGAGGUAAACUUUCCACUGUUGCUGAAAUGGAAUAUAUGGUGCUGUUCAUUCACUGAGCUCUCUGGAAGACCCAGUGAUACCAUCCUAGACUAUGCCUGCCCCAGAGCCUCACUACCUCUAUGCUGAUGAUGCUGCCUUUUCAUCACUGUGAAUGAGUGGAAACUUGGAGCCCUUGCUUGUUCCUAGCACCUCUUCAGAUAGCCAAGAGCAGAAUUCCUACCCUCAUCAGAAUUACUCCAGGCCUCCUGACUCACAGAUCACUUCAAAGCAUCUGUAGGACAUUAAUUCUUCCCAAGAACACUAGUUUUUGGGAUAUUGGUUUCUUUAGAUAAAGCCCCACUAAUUUGACCUUGAAAAUUUUGUCUGAGUCAAUCACUCACAACUAGAUACACACUGUUAUCCUGUAAUCCAGUAAUAUGGAGAAAAACCCAUAAACAAUGUAACAUGUUAGUGAAGGUGGUUUUAAUAAGUGAAAGUUAAUAAAAGAUCUUGCCAGACCUAGCUCUUGGACUUU